ensembl:lncRNA
GCGGUGUGCGAGGGCUCUGUCAUCACUGGUUGCAGGUUUAAAUUUAUAUAAAUUUUUUUCCUUUUAUUUUUCUUUAAGCCGUCCUAAUGUUCUCCAUGUUUGUGUCUGUGCAUGAUUUGUCUGUCUGUGUCUGUUAGGACAGAAGUGAAGUAAGGGUGGGGCAGCAUGACAGCCAUCUACGAUCACACGGAAGUCAAAAUGGGAAACAGACAGGCAAAAAGGUGGGGGCAUUUUUAACAUGCUGGCGAGAAAUAUGGAGAGAAAUGUGCCUCAAAAGGGUUACAGACGUGUACAGUGAUUGCAGAGGGGAAGAAACUGUUCUUGUGGCGAGAGGUUCUGGUGCGAAUGGACCGGAGCCUCCUGCCUGAGGGGAGCAGGUCAAACAGACUGUGUCCAGGGUGAGAAGGGUCAGCUGAGAUCCGAGCUGCACGCCCCAGUGUCCUGGAGGUGUACAGGUCCUGCAGAGAUGGGAGUCUGCAGCCAAUCACCUUCUCAGCAGAGCGCACAACACGCUGCAGUCUCUGUUUGUCCCUGAUAGUGGCUCCAGCGUACCACACGGUGAUGGAGGAGGUGAGGAUGGACUCGAUGGUGGGCUCCCACUUCAGGUCCUGGGUGAUGGUGGUACCCAGGAAGCGGAAUGAGUCCACAGAGGUGAUGGG